CCUACGGGAGGCAGCAGUGGGGGAUAUUGCACAAUGGGGGAAACCCUGAUGCAGCGACGCCGCGUGUGGGAAGACGGUCCUCUGGAUUGUAAACCACUGUCCCCAGGGACGAAGAUGACGGUACCUGGGGAGGAAGCUCCGGCUAACUACGUGCCAGCAGCCGCGGUAAUACGUAGGGAGCGAGCGUUGUCCGGAAUUACUGGGUGUAAAGGGAGCGUAGGCGGGACUGCAAGUUGGGUGUCAAAUCUACCGGCUCAACCGGUAGCCGCACUCAAAACUGCAGUUCUUGAGUGAAGUAGAGGCAGGCGGAAUUCCUAGUGUAGCGGUGAAAUGCGUAGAUAUUAGGAGGAACACCAGUGGCGAAGGCGGCCUGCUGGGCUUUUACUGACGCUGAGGCUCGAAAGUGUGGGGAGCGAACAGGAUUAGAUACCCUGGUAGUC
rnacentral:rRNA from 1 species